rfam:Fibrobacter sp. TWH6 genome assembly, contig: Ga0136285_101
GCGGGAAUAGCUCAGUUGGUAGAGCACGACCUUGCCAAGGUCGGGGUCGAGGGUCCGAGUCCCUUUUCCCGCU